UGUUGGGAAUUAUGGCUGCCGACGUGUCUACCGAGUUGGGUUCGUCAACAAGUCUUGCCAUGGUUCCACUCAGUACAACGGAUUUUGAAGCUCACGUGGAUCCCCUAGCGGCUCGAGAAAUUAGUCUUGAAGAUAUCCAGCUGAUCGACGACCCUUUGCUAAACAUGGACAUGGUAGCUGGAAUGAUGGAGAUGCACCGUCGUAUCGGUGCCUACGCAGAGGAUGUCAUCAAAUGCUCCCACCGGAAAUCUCAGAUGCUUCAAGGCUAUGGGGACUCAGUACUCCAUGCUGAGGCCCUUAAAAAGGAACUUGCCAAGGAGAGGGAGUACUCCUCCUGACUACUGAUGAAGUACGAUGGAGCUGCUACUGAGUAUCGUAGCCGCAUCCAGCAGCUUGAGGAGGAGAAAGACCGUCUCAAGGGGCGGAAUAAGUCAUUGAACUAGCAAAUCACAGUGCUUUAAAAGUCAGAAGAAGAUCUCCAGGGACAAGUCAAUAAUCAGAAGAAUGCUUACUACCGGGUGAUAGAUCAACAUGAUAAGCUGGUAUCAAGAUAUGAGAACCUGGAGCAUCACCAGAAGAAAGAGAGAAAAAUGCGUGAAGAUGGUGAAGUUGACUUGGUCAAUGCCAUGAAAACCAUCCAGGAGCGUGAGUCUGAGCUGGAAGCUGCAAAAAUUGCUUUGAAGGAGAUAUCUGAAGCAGCCCAGCCAAUAGCGGAUAUGGUGGAGCCUCCAGUUGAGGGUGUAGAGCCCUGCCCGCUGAUUGAAGUGCUCAAGGACUUGCCAACGAAAUUCACCAACUACACUCAGAAGAUGAUGAAAUCUGUCUCCAAGCAACUACUAAGCUUCGUUAAGUCCUUAUAUCCUCAAGCUGAUCUGACUCCUGUUGCGGAGGAUAUAAAAGAGGAUUGCUCGGACGAACUUGUUAUUACAAGCUGAUGAAAUCUGUCUCCAAGCAACUACUGAGCUUCGUUAAGUCCUUAUAUCCUCAAGCUGAUCUGGCUCCUGUUGCGGAGGGUAUAGAAGAGGAUUG